UAUGAAAAAUACAUCACCACUUGCAUAUGUUACCAUCAUCCAGAUCCGCAGUUGGUGGGGAGCCCCGGUUACGGUGAGGAUUUGGAGAACCUUUCCCUGAAAGUGGGAAGUCCUACGCGGUGAGUCCACCCAUAGGUGAGGCUUCCAAAGUCGCUGUGAGCCAUUCCAGCCUUAUAUACCUAAAAAUCAACAAGCAGAGUAGCUAGUACCUUUGUUUUAAGUGGAAAUAUCUGGUUCCAUUCUCACAUUAGAUUCUCCCAGAGCCUGACCAGGGCUCAGGGGAGAAACUAAGGGAGUUUCCCAGCUUAUCUAAUUGAUUUAUGAGCAAGGUCACACACCAGGUCACAGGGCCAGACAGCUGUCUCUGUGACCCUGUUAUCUUGCCUUUUCAUCUUAUUUGCACUCGCAAAGAAGGC